AGUGAACGCUGGCGGUAGGCCUAACACAUGCAAGUCGAACGGCAGCACAGUAAGAGCUUGCUCUUACGGGUGGCGAGUGGCGGACGGGUGGGGAAUACAUCGGAAUCUACUUUUUCGUGGGGGAUAACGUAGGGAAACUUACGCUAAUACCGCAUACGACCUACGGGUGAAAGCAGGGGAUCUUCGGACCUUGCGCGAUUGAAUGAGCCGAUGUCGGAUUAGCUAGUUGGCGGGGUAAAGGCCCACCAAGGCGACGAUCCGUAGCUGGUCUGAGAGGAUGAUCAGCCACACUGGGACUGAGACACGGUCCAGACUCCUACGGGAGGCAGCAGUGGGGAAUAUUGGACGAUGGGCGCAAGCCUGAUCCAGCCAUACCGCGUGGGUGAAGAAGGCCUUCGGGUUGUAAAGCCCUUUUGUUGGGAAAGAAAAGCAGCAGGUUAAUACCCCGCUGUUCUGACGGUACCCAAAGAAUAAGCACCGGCUAACUUCGUG
rnacentral:rRNA from 1 species